rnacentral:lncRNA from 1 species
AAUACAAGUGGUGUCCUUAUAAGAAGAAGAGAAUAGAGAUAGAGACAUGCAGAGAGAACACCUUGUGACAAUAGAGGCAGGUUCUCUUCCUCUUGUGGGAACCAAAUCUGUCAAUACCUUGGUUUUGGACUUCCAGUCCCCAGAACUGAGAGAUUACAUUUCCUUUUUGAGGUCCUUCAGUUUGUGGUAAUUUAUUACACAGCCCUGGAAUACUGAUACACCACUCUUCUCCCUUACCCAUUUUUCAAAGUAAAAAUUUUAAAUUCAAUGCUAUUAAAAAGCUGGAUGACAACUACUAUAUGAGAAAAGUUGAGAAGGUGAAAACUAUUAUUUGUGAUUGCCUCUUCAGGCAGUGGGUAUAGAAGACCCCUGAAGAGCUGUAAUGAGGGAAGUAGAACACAGACAACCAUGGUCUAUCCAGACAAAAGGAGUAUCCGAUGCCAGGAAGAAAAUUUGGCAAAGCUGCAGAUAGUUUAUGGUCUAAUUGUGGUUGGUCGAUAAUUUUGCAACUGUCAUCAACAUGUCCUCCCAAAGGUAAGAAUCCUUUUGCUGUGAGAGUAUUUUGCCCCGAAGGCAGCAUGGGAGAUGGGAGUAGUGGGUACAUGCCGUGGGGGUGGGGGGUGGGCAGGAAUAGGACCAGGGAUAGGCAAAUACCUUGUUUGGCGAAUAUACUCAGUAACUAUACCUGAUUUAAACAUCUGACUUAAAGAUAUCCAUUUUAUUCUGAGAAUAUGGAAGGCUUAGGAAGGGCUUACAGAAUUGUUCUAACACAGAGGCGCCAUCUUACACAACUGUUCACUCUUUUUUAGUAUUUUGAGGUCCCGGUCUGGCUUCCAAAGAAGAUGUUUUCAUACUUCUAAAACCUGUCUUUGAAGUCAGAGGACAAUGUCAGAACCUUUGUUUUGUGGUACUUGAAAAGAAGCUGUACUUCCUUUAGCUUUCCUCAUUUCAGUAAAGGCAAGGUGGUCAUACAUUCCAGUGUGCUAGGGUUGUAGAUUGAAAAAAUGG